AUUGAACGCUGGCGGCAGGCCUAACACAUGCAAGUCGAACGGUAACAGGAAACAGCUUGCUGUUUCGCUGACGAGUGGCGGACGGGUGAGUAAUGUCUGGGAAACUGACUGAUGGAGGGGGAUAACUACUGGAAACGGUAGCUAAUAACGCAUAACGUCGCAAGACCAAAGAGGGGGAACUUCGGGCCUCUUGCCAUCGGAUGUGCCCAGAUGGGAUUAGCUAGUAGGUGGGGUAACGGCUCACCUAGGCGACGAUCCCUAGCUGGUCUGAGAGGAUGACCGGCCACACGGGAACUGAGACACGGUCCAUACUCCUGAGGGAGGCAGCAGUGGGGAAUAUUGCGCAAUGGGGGCAAGCCUUAUGCAACCAUGCCGCGUGUAUGAAGAAGGCCUUCGGGUUGUAAAGUACUUUCAGCGGUGAGGAAGGGAGUAAAGUUAAUACCUUGGCUCAUUGACGUUACCCGCAGAAGAAGCACCGGCUAACUCCGUG
rnacentral:rRNA from 1 species